UCAUUAAGAAGCUUCCACGGAUAAGCAACAGCCUUUUAAGCUGCAGUAAGGUGACUUCCUAUCACCCUUAAUGAU
rnacentral:tRNA from 1 species